CAAGCAUCAGAAGAUUGCUGUGUGGAUGAAAUACAUGCUGGGCAGAUCUAUCAUGGCAAUAGUACACAAAACAAUGCGAUGCUUGGUAUUCUUUCUGCUCAGAACGGGUCUCACAUCAGAGGAGCAUCCAGGUGCCAGCUGGUGGAAAGGCAGAUGCCACUGAUUUCAAUGGACUUGCACCAGUUUACAUUAACUGAGAGCCUGACCCCAUGUGCAUUAGAGUUAUUUUUAGGCACUUGCAUUGGAACUCCCUUCAGUGACAAUUAAAAAUACAUCACAUUACAUCCUGUUCCCAAGUGUAUGACUGGAAGCCUGUUGACGGGCUGUGGGAGAGGGCAAGUAGAAGUAGCCAAGAAUUAUAUCCAUGAGAUAACUUUUUAAGAUGAGUAUUAACCCUGAAUUUCAGCUUUUUUUUGUUUUUUGUUUUUUUUUACUGUGACUCUUUGCCUAUGGAAAAAGUCUCGGCUCUCCACCUUCCAGUCGUAAUUCAAUGCUUGCAAAGGAAAAACAAAAAAACCCACCAUGCUGUAAGACCACAUAAAGUGUCUAAGUUUUAAAAAAAAAAAAAAAAAAAAAAAAAAAAAAAACUGGUGUCAUCAACUAGAAUUGUAAGAAAACUCCCAAACUGGGAUCUGUUUGUUCAACUAAACAUUUGUUCCAAGGGACUGCAUUGCUGGACAAGCAGUAAAAUUGUUAAAAAUACUGAAACAGCUGUUGGAAGCUCUACUUCAUCAAGCAGUUAAUGUGAGGGAGGGAGAAACCAGAAAGGAAGAGGUGGAGCAAUAAGCAAGGCAGAGCAGUACUUCAUAGCUCCAGCCAUCUUAGUAGGGAGUGGGAGCUAAAUAAUAAAUUUAGAUAAAGCAGCUAGCUGUUAAACAUGAAGAUACUGCAUAAAAAAAUCUCAUUACCAUUAUUAACUGGUACAAUGAUUAUUUGUCUUUUGAUUCAAGAUAACAAGAUCAAAAUGGAAAAGCUAACUAAGAAAAAUGAAGAUGCAGCUCACGUACCAACUGAAGUAAUUGUUUGUACAGCACAACACCCAUAUCUCCAAUUUAGGUCAGGCCAUCAAGAAGAGGAAAAGGAAAAGAACUGAAGAUGAGAUGCUCUACUUCACACAGUUGCCCUCUGGAAGGGCUGGCAAAGGCAGUCACUUAAAUUAAGUACAGGUCAUCAGACAGGAUAUCUAAUCUAUUCCUAAAACAGGCAGCUCUCGCAGUCCAAAUCCCUAUGGCCUUUACAGCAACACAACGAACUACUUCCUCAUGUACCUCUGUCAACUCACGUUAGGUUCCUAUUUUUUUUAAAGCGAUAUUUCAUGUACACCAUGACCCUAUUGCUCACAGCAAGGAAAGUGCUUUGGUUUAUUUAUGACCUACUAACCUUAAAUAAAAAAACCAUACAUCCAAUCUGAAUGUUCACAUAAGCCUGCAGAUCUGAAAUAAAACUUAAAAUAAAGCUGGCAUUUGUAAUAGCUAGCUAAGCCCAGUAAGGGAUUUAGAAAAAAAUUAAAAUUAAAACCAGAUGAGAGAAGAUGAAAGCAUUUUUACCCUGCAUAACCUGCACACAUCAUGAAUGAUGGCUGGAGCUCAGGAAUACUUUUUUGUGUUUUUGUACUUACAAGUUUCAGCCCACUUCAACAGCAGCUAGGUAACCAAGGAAAUACUGAGGUUUUCCCAUUACAGGGUUGGGAGGGAAUAAUAACAACCCAUGAAAGCAAUUCCUUUUAAGAUGCAAUCCAUCCAGCCACGAGCUCUACACAGCUCCUCUCUUUUCCUUACACCCCAUCCUAACUGCCAGGUAUCAGUCUGGCCAGACCUCAUAUUGAAAUAUGAUGUGACAGAAGGAAGCAGGGAACAAGACCAUAGGAAUAAAUACUGAAAGAAAUGGCAUAGAGGAAGAAAGCUUAUAACAGGGAAUAUGUGAAACACAAGUGACCAUAUAUAUAUUUUUUGCUAGAACAACAUUGAACAGAUGCAGAUGUGCAAAAGACUGUUCAGUUGAAGAGUUUAUAAAGAUCUGUCAUAAAGAACUCCCUUUCUCUCUACAUCCAUGGGGUUGAAUUGUGAUAUGGACAGUACAAAUAAAUGGGGAAAAAAAAAUAUAAAAUCAAGCUUCAGACCUAAAAUAUCAAGAGCAAACAUCUUUUGCUGAAUCAGCUCCAAAAAAAGGGAGGAAAGGGCUUCUCUGCCACAGUUGGUUGGAACUAGAACUCACAGAUACUCAUGAUCACAUUGAAAUUCCUAAAUAAAAAAAAUCUACAGAAAGGAGAAAUUCUUUACAUUCCAUUCUUCUGUAGUUCUCCAGCAGAAUAUAUUAAUGCCUCUGUUCUUGAGAUACUUCAGAUGUAUUUGACAGAAAUACAGUUAUCUGUACAAGAGCAAUUUGUUGGAAAAAAAAAAAAACAGAUGCAACCAAAUUCUUAUCACAGCAUUUGUUUAAAAAAUAAAAUAUGCAAGGCAUCAUAUUUACGACCGGAAGUCUUUUGGUCCUACCUCUCUUUAUGAUACUAUAAACAAAAUUAACAAAUAAAAAUCUUUAUAAAAUAUUCUUUAAGUGCAGAAAGCAAUGAGAGAGUACAAGAUUAGCUUGUCCUCUGGUAAAAGAUUUAACAAGUAGCUCCUAGAAGCCAAUGAAUCACUCACAGUUUCAGUGCAGUAAUCUAAGAGCAGCCCCAACUAAAGGAACUCAGACCAACAAAGCUGCAAGAGAACAACCUUCUGCAGGAGAACUGCUAACAAGCAUGAGGAAGGAAGACAUCUGGGAAGCUGCCAGCUCCAUGCACGAAGAAGGAAAUGGGAAAGAGAGAAGGGUGCUGGUAUUGACAUUUAAGGAUGCUGUCAAGUCAAUGGAGUUCUCUUGUAGUGGUUGCUUCAGUGAACAUUCAACGCUGUCGGCCUUCACACCGAAGAUAGAAACCUAACCAGCACAUGAGGUUUCUCCCCUACUCUGCCAUGCUUUACAAAAAAGGUCACAAUCAACAUUCAUUGCUGUCGGUGGGUUUAACUAUGUGGACAAGCUCACUGAACAAUGAAUGCAACUGUGGCCCCACAUUUUACAGGUGCAAUUGGGAGGAACGUCAGCUCUGAAAGGAAUAGUGAGAAGCAGACAUUUCUUAUAGGUUACAUUUUUUCUGGUCAAAAAAUAAAUGAGGAUAUUCUAUUUUCACUUGUUUGUUUUUAAGGGUAUUUAACUAUGUUGACUAAAAAACAAAACCACUGCACAUUUCUGGAAUAUCACCCCCACAGGGUUUGGCAUCAUUGAAAACAAACUAUCUUGUUCAGUCUGUAUGUGGAAACGAGUAAUAACACAGAGAGUUGUAUAUAUGUAUUCUUCAGGACUGAGCAUAAGAGGAAAGGGUAUUUAAAUCUUAUCUUAACUAGGUAUUAUGGAAUAGUUUACAGAAGUCUCUUCUAUAAUUGUCAAGACAAAACCAGAAACAGGAGUCAGAAUUCAGAGGCAUGGACAAAAUAUAUCAAAUAAAGGAUUCAGUAGUUUUACAUGACAGUGAUCUUACGUACCUAAAUAAAUGGUACCAGACAGUAAGCAUUACUACAUUUGCCUUUUCUAAUGGUCAGAUUACAGAAAUAGAUGUAUUCCUGGUAUUUAACACUAGUUAAAUUGCAAAAUUACUCUAAACUCUGGGUGCUUGUGUCACACUCAGUAUUGCU